GAUUCAUCAGACCAGGCCACCAUCUUCUGUUGCUCCAUAGUCUGGUUCUGACAUUUACAUGCCCAUUGUAGGCGCUUUUGGCGGUGGACAGGGGUCAGCAUGGGCACCCUGACUGGUCUGCGGCUACGCAGCCCCAAACGCUGCAAGCUGCGAUGUACUGUGUGUUCUGACACCUGUCUAUCAUAGCCAGCAUUGACUUUUUCAGCAGUAUAUGCUACAGUAGCUCUUCUGGGGAUUUGGACCAGACAGGCUAGCCUUCACUCCCCACACGCAUCAAUGAGCCGUGGGCGACCAUGACCCUGACGCCGGUUCACUGGUUGUCCUUCCUUGGACCACUUUUGGUACUGACCACUGAAUUUUGUACAUGCCAGUCGUCUAGCCAUCACAUUUUCGCCCUUGUCAAAGUCACUCAGAUCUUUACACUUGCCCUUUUUUUCCUGUUUCCAACACAUCAACUUCAAGAACUGACCGUUGACUUGCUGCCUAAUAUAUCCCACCCCAUGACAGGUGCCAUGGUAACGAGAUAAUCAGUGUUAUUCACUUAACCUGUCAGUGGUUUUAAUGUUGUUGCUGAUCGGUGUGUGUGUCUGCCAAAUACACUCAAUUUUGACUAAUAUUUGGUUUUAUCAUUUUUAUGUAAAGUGCCAAACGUUGGCAAAUAUUUUGCCUAUUAAACAGAAGCAAACAUCAUCAUAUAUGUACUAAAAAAAGGAAAUAAGAGGUACUAAUGUGAGUAUUAAUCAUACAUUUAGAUGAAUGUAGCAGUUUUUAUUAUUUUUCCUAUGUGCCUUUAUAAAAGCUACAUGCUAACAGCACAGAGAUGCUUCAGAUGUAACAAAGGUCAAGUUUUAGUAGAUAGAUGCCAUUCAGCUUUCCUCAUGCCCGCUUUGGACACCAAGAUGACAACACGCUGGCAGAUUGUGUGAUUUUGAGAUGACAUCAGAGGGCUUGAAAUAGCAGCAGCAUUAAAGCUUCCAGUCAUGGGAGCCUGCUGCGAGGCCUGCACCCAGGGCAGCCACUUCCAGCUGAGCGGGCGCGAGCGCAGGAGGGACGGACGGGGGCGGAAAAAAAACCCAAAACAAAACAAAGUGACAGAGGAGAUAAUGAAGUGACGGGAGCAGCAACAAGUCAAAGGGGGUCGUUGGCUCGACAUGCUUUUGAGAGCUAAUAUCACACGCAGAGGGGGUGCAAAAUACGAGAGCAGCAAUUAUGUUCUGUCAAAUUAAGUAGUUGUGCUUGAAUAAUUUUCACUGGUAAAUCUCCUUUCUGUCUCUUUAAGUUGACUCCUUUGUUGUGUAAUCAAAGCAUUAAAUAUACAUGAUGCACACGGUAGCUGAACUUGCCGCACAGUAAGUGGUUAUGAGCAGCUUCCUGAAACCUUAAGGCUGAAGUUUACAUUUUUAUGACUUUCACUGUCUUUAGAAGAAAUUUUAUGAAUCUUAUUUUAGCUCGAAAUCCUUUUUAAAAAAGAUGUUUUUGGUGCUUAGUGCAUUGUGCAAUGUUUUUGCACUAUAAUUUCCAGAGCCCACAUGUCAAUAAAACAUUUCCGGUGGUUUUUUGUGGGAUUUUCUGGUGAUAAAGUUUGAGUUUCUGUAUUGUAGAUUGUGUUAGCCAUGAUGGCUUCCAUGCUAACAAACAAAUGUGAAGCUAAAAUUCAAUGUGUGACAAAUGAUUCUUCACCAGAGAGCUAUAAUGUGUUAAAAAAAUAUAAUAAAAAGAGAAAGUUUUCAUGA